CUUGCUCCUCUGACGUUAGCGGCGGACGGGUGAGUAACACGUGGAUAACCUACCUAUAAGACUGGGAUAACUUCGGGAAACCGGAGCUAAUACCGGAUAAUAUAUUGAACCGCAUGGUUCAAUAGUGAAAGACGGUUUUGCUGUCACUUAUAGAUGGAUCCGCGCCGCAUUAGCUAGUUGGUAAGGUAACGGCUUACCAAGGCAACGAUGCGUAGCCGACCUGAGAGGGUGAUCGGCCACACUGGAACUGAGACACGGUCCAGACUCCUACGGGAGGCAGCAGUAGGGAAUCUUCCGCAAUGGGCGAAAGCCUGACGGAGCAACGCCGCGUGAGUGAUGAAGGUCUUCGGAUCGUAAAACUCUGUUAUUAGGGAAGAACAAAUGUGUAAGUAACUAUGCACGUCUUGACGGUACCUAAUCAGAAAGCCACGGCUAACUACGUGCCAGCAGCCGCGGUAAUACGUAGGUGGCAAGCGUUAUCCGGAAUUAUUGGGCGUAAAGCGCGCGUAGGCGGUUUUUUAAGUCUGAUGUGAAAGCCCACGGCUCAACCGUGGAGGGUCAUUGGAAACUGGAAAACUUGAGUGCAGAAGAGGAAAGUGGAAUUCCAUGUGUAGCGGUGAAAUGCGCAGAGAUAUGGAGGAACACCAGUGGCGAAGGCGACUUUCUGGUCUGUAACUGACGCUGAUGUGCGAAAGCGUGGGGAUCAAACAGGAUUAGAUACCCUGGUAGUCCACGCCGUAAACGAUGAGUGCUAAGUGUUAGGGGGUUUCCGCCCCUUAGUGCUGCAGCUAACGCAUUAAGCACUCCGCCUGGGGAGUACGACCGCA
rnacentral:rRNA from 1 species